CCACUUUCAGGUGUGGUUACAUGUGAUAAAACUCAAAAAAUGUUGUACUGUUUACACUUAUAUUUAGUGUUUUCCACUUAAGAUCAGAUGCCGGGUGUAAAUGGGGUCUUCCUAGGAGCCAUUUCUUGUUUUCUAUUUAUAAGAAAAAGACAGUAGCAUAGUUGGCAACAGUUUAUUUUCAAGAGUGAAAAAUUAUUUUUGCAUAUAAAUAGAUCUGUGUCGCGCUUCUGCUAGGAGACAGUCUAGCUCACACCGGGGUUCAAUAAUUAAUUUCUGUGUUGAGAGUUUCAGAAGCGUGCUGAUUGGGCUGAUUUUCUCUUCGUCUUUUCCUCUUUUUUUCUCCUUCUCUGUUAUGAUACAAAGGAGGCUGUUUGAAGUAAUUUGUCCCAAAGAGAGUGGCUUGGAAUACCAUGCAAGCUUUGAUUUAGCAAAGCAAAUUUAAUUUUGUUUGCUUUAUGCAAACCAGCCAGGACUGAAGGGGCUUUCUCUGAUUUCGCUUUGGGGUGGGGGAGGUAUCCAGUUCUAAUGGGAUCAUGAGAGCAGCAUGUACAUGAACGGAUGUGGUGUGUAAUAAAGCACAUGGUUCAAAAGUACAGCGCCCAUCCCCCUCUUCUGCACCUUGAAAUAAUUGUCUGUGUUGUCUUAUUUUUGUACAUUUGAAACCAAUAAUGAAAGCAAUUCUGGCUUAUUUUGUUUUGCUUUUGGAGAGCUACCUGAUUUGAAUGUUUCCUAAUAUGCUUAGCUAAUCUUAUGGUUGUGUGUCUAGCUGUGGUUAUGGAUCUAUUGGGCAUGGUUCACAAACCUUUACGACUGCUCUCUACGUGCUAUUGUGUUCCAGCCCAUAUAGCAAGGCUUUCUCUUCAGGGUCAAACCGUCUACUGUUUGUGAAUUGUCUCAAUCAGGAUGGUACAAGCAGCCACUCAGGUUGGAUUCUCUGUAACAGCCCUUAAUAAUGGAGGUUUUAUAAUGAAACCAAACAAAAACCAUCCCCAAGGUCACAACCUUAAAAACACUGGGUCUCCAGCACUUACAUACUUUGGUUGUAGCAUAUACUUAAAAGCGUUUUAGUCUGCCAUUCGUACCUGAACGGGGAAAAAAUAUGAUGUAGAAAAUGGGUUGUCCACUUUUGUUGAAAGACUGUUCAAGAAAUAAUGGGUGAAUAAAGCAAAAGCCCAUUUUUAAUCGUUGUAUAUAUAAAUAUACAGAGAAACCUCUCCUUGACUAGCCUCCGUCCUUUUGUUAUACAAAACUUGGCCAAUAUCUUUCAAGCUCUCGCCGCAGUUUAAAGGUCUUAAUUGGAUUCCAUCAAUAUAUUGCUUGACACGACCCCAGGUCUGCCACAUUCCCUCUCUACUCGCCUCAUUCAUUCCGUCAGGCUUUGUAAUGCCGUGAAUAUUCUUGGUUAAAUUGACGGUUUUCAGAGCUAUUAUUUAAGCCUGAUUGGACCGCCAAAGCGUGUUUUAAAUUAAGUGAAUGUCAAGAAAGAAAGAAAGAAAGAGAGAAAAUAGCAUGUUACCUCUACGCACGGGUCCGUGUAAAGUAUCUCGCUCUCUGUAGGCCGACUCGAGUGUAAAACUUUGUAAGUAUGUGUAUGAAAGGUACAAAUGACUAGGUUAUUGAAAUAGAAUUAGGCUGCCAGGCUUUGAGUAACAGUCAGCCCUGACGCUCUCUCACUCUCCUUUUUCUUUCUUUGUUCCAUGGCCAUUGACUGGCAUGGAGAGGCGUUUGCUUGUCAAGACAGCAGUGAGUGUGCCUGAUACUGACCCAAUAAAAGGAGCAGACUACCACAUCCAUGACAGGUGGUGGAAAGUGUUUCACUAUUAACUUGGAGGCUUAUAGAUGACAGAAAAACACGUGUGCAGGAGCAUGUGCAGGGUCACGAGAAACCAUUUCCUGCCUUAACUGACUUGCCUGUGACACAAGAGGGUUUGCGCGGACAACAUCUCAUCAGCCCCAAAUUUACAUUGAAGAGGCAGGAGCCUUAUGGAUCGUAGGAACGAGAAGGAGAAAUAAAUUGGAGAGUAGGAUAAAUCGAUGCUUGACGGAGAGGCAAAUAGACCUUCCAACCUCAGUCCAAACGCUGAGCUUUGGUUAUUUUCCUUAGGGCUGUAUUGGAUUCGUUGACCGCAGCUGAGGAGAGGGCUCAGACAAUACUUGGCCUACAAAUGAUGUCCUUUAUGUUUAUCCAUUAAUGUGUAAAGAACCUCUACCAUUUUGGGGUGGACAUUGGUCCAUUCUUGUGGAAGGGGUGUCUGGAGUUUCAAAAAGCAAUGUCAAAUAGGCCAUAAUUUCACUGUGCUGCAUUUGGUUUGUUGCUAAUGCUUAAAUCUUAUUUUCCAUAUUCAAAUACCUUCCAAUUUUGUCUUCAGGGAUCAAAAGAAAUGCAUUCAAAUCAUGACUUGAACACCAUUUAUAGGGCUGACACUCAAAACACUACAGUAAACAUCAAGGAACAGUCGAGAUCACCUUGUCUCAAGUCUCAGCCACAGUGGAAAUAUAUCCAAAAGGUCAAACUUUAGUGAGCAAAUAUGUGCAUGUGUGGAUUUGUUUGCUUUUGCGUGUGUGCAUGAGAUGCGAGUUGAAGAGUCUGAACUUACAAAUGUAUAAUUUAUUGAUGUAAAACCUUACAAAUUAACAAAUACAAUGUGUUAUAUAAAGCAACUGUUCUCUUCACAAGACUAACGAUUAAAGAUUGGGUUGAGAAUAAAGUUUGGGAAUGACAUGUGGCUGAGUAAAUGAUAACAGAAUUUUCAUUUGUUGGUGAAUUAGCCCUUUAAGACCUACAUAGAUUAAAUCUCUUUUAUGUAAACAUCAAAAAAUAACUCUUUACUGUAUGUCACUAAUAUAUCUUAUGUAUUUUUCUCUACUCUGUGCAUUUAUAUAAUGAUUAUUAAAUGAUUAUACUAAGUGUUACUAUUAGAAGCAUUCCAGGCCAUGAUGACUAUUUUAUGGUCAUCUUAUGCAAUCCAUGCUACAUUUAGGAUCAUAAGGUGAUUUACACGUUUCCAGAUGUAAUUUCCAAGAGAACUUUCAUCUGUAAUCUUCGUCCAAAUUUGCAGUGUUGUUCCACUGCGGGGUUCUGCUGCAAUAUUGAUGUUUCAAUUAGAACAGCGUUACAUACUGCAGCCUCGUAACAUGGUGCGUCUCCAACCAUCUGCUGCACUUCCACAUAUGAAGAACGAGACACGUGGGGCUAAUCGAGCUGCACAUGAGCGAUGGGACUAGCAGCUCAUUCACAUCUCUAUACAGAUCUGAAGGGCCGGUAUCUCAGGUAGGCAGCCUGCCUACAAUGCCUUCAAUUAUGAAUGUUGACUCAUUAUAACUGUCCCAAAGUUUGUGCUGCUAAUCUACUCUCAUUUUGUCAAGAUAACUAGAUGCACCUAUAGAAAGGACGUAGCUACUUUUUGUGAAGUAACUUUUUGCCACUUGAGAAAGAUUUUUUUUUUUUUAGGAUUUUAUAUUUCAGUGUCUUUAAGUAAAACUGCAAAUUUCACUAAAGGCAGCCCUAAAGGUGCACACAUUAAGUUGUUAUUUACAUUUAGCUGUCUGUUAUUCAUCCUAAUAGGACCAGUGGUUUUGACUUUUAUACUGACUACUAUUGGUCUGGAGGCAUGAAGUUUGCUUAGGUGUCACUGUUGUUAUUAUAACUGUUUACUUAGCUAUUUUGGAAGACUGACUUGAUUAAAUGUGAUGUGUUCACUCAUUAUAUGAGUGUAUAGCCUAUAAGUGAUGUUCAUUUAUGUUAACUAAAAUACAAAUAGCAAAUAUUUAAAUUAGCAAAACAAUAAAAUCUGUUUAAUUACUUAAACCACAGUCACAAAAAAGUUAAGGGGGAAAAAAUUAGGCUAAUGAAAUAUUGCAAGCGUGAUAUUUUGCAAUCCUUACCAUUUAGUUUCGUCCCCAACCUGUUGUUCACUAGAAAACAUGUUGAAGUAAUUAAAG